AACGAACGCUGGCGGCAGGCUUAACACAUGCAAGUCGAGCGCCCCGCAAGGGGAGCGGCAGACGGGUGAGUAACGCGUGGGAAUCUACCCAUCUCUACGGAAUAACGCAUGGAAACGUGUGCUAAUACCGUAUACGUCCUUCGGGAGAAAGAUUUAUCGGAGAUGGAUGAGCCCGCGUUGGAUUAGCUAGUUGGUGGGGUAAAGGCCUACCAAGGCGACGAUCCAUAGCUGGUCUGAGAGGAUGAUCAGCCACACUGGGACUGAGACACGGCCCAGACUACUACGGGAGGCAGCAGUGGGGAAUAUUUGACAAUGGUCGCAAGCCUGAUCCAGCCAUGCCGCGUGAGUGAUGAAGGCCCUAGGGUUGUAAAGCUCUUUCACCGGUGAAGAUAAUGACGGUAACCGGAGAAGAAGCCCCGGCUAACUUCGUGCCAGCCGCCGCGGUAACAC
rnacentral:rRNA from 1 species